CUCCAAAGUAAACCAAGUAGUUUUAGUCCUGGGAAGGGAUGUUUGUUCUCUUGUUUACAGUUACUUCUUUCUUCCCAUGAUCCCAGUCUACAUCUUGAGCAUCCUCAAAAUAGUCCUCAAUCAGUGGCAUUUGAGAAUGUUUUUGCCCUUCCAGCAUACCAGGAGCUGUGAGAUGGAAAAGGUAUUCCAGUCUGUAAAACAGGCCUUCUCUUUGGUUAAAUAUGGAGUUCCUGACAGGAAGCACUGCCUUGGGCCAGCUCAGCAGAACAAGGGACCAUGAGGUCAACAGCAAUAAGAGGAUUUAAAGACAACAGCAUUCCUAUUUCCUGAGACACAACAAUAGUGAAGAAUAUUACAUAAACUUAGUUGAUGAAGCAGCAGCAGGAUUUGAGAGGAUUGAUUCCAAUUUUAAAAGAAGUUCUGUUGUAAGUAAAAUGUUAUCAAACAGCAUCUCAUGCUAUCGAAAAAUCUUUCAUGAAAGGGAGAGUCGAUCAAUGUGACAAAUUUCAAUGUUGCCUUCUUUCACAUUUCCACAAUCACAACCAUCCCUGCGUUCAGUACCCAUCACCCUGAUCAGUCAGCAGUCACCAACAUUGACUUAAGACCCUCCA